CGGGCUCGAACGGCAUAUGAAUGUACCAGAGACGGUACAGUCUUCGGACAUAUGUCGAGGUGCUGCAUGGUUGUCGUCAGCUCGUGCCGUGAGGUGUCGGGUCAAGUCCCAUAACGAGCGCAACCCCUGCCUCCAGUUGCCAGCAGGUGAAGCUGGGGACUCUGGAGGGACUGCCGCCGCAAGGUGGAGGAGGGUGGGGAUGACGUCAAAUCAGCACGGCCCUUACGUCCGGGGCGACACACGUGUUACAAUGGCGGACACAGAAGGAUGGUGAGCAGCGAUGCCCAUCGAAUCUAUAAAGUCCGUCUCAGUUCGGAUCGGAGCCUGCAACCCGGCUCCGUGAAGCUGGAUUCGCUAGUAAUCGCGCAUCAGCCAUGGCGCGGUGAAUACGUUCCCGGGCC
rnacentral:rRNA from 1 species